UACGGAGGGAGCUAGCGUUGUUCGGAAUUACUGGGCGUAAAGCGCACGUAGGCGGCUUUGCAAGUUAGAGGUGAAAGCCCGGGGCUCAACUCCGGAAUUGCCUUUAAAACUGCAUCGCUAGAGUUGUGGAGAGGUAAGUGGAAUUCCGAGUGUAGAGGUGAAAUUCGUAGAUAUCGGGAGGAACACCAGUGGCGAAGGCGGCGAUCUGGGCAGAUACUGACGCUGAGGUGCGAAAGCGUGGGGGAGCAAACAGG
rnacentral:rRNA from 1 species